GAUCUCCUAAAAAACCUACCUUUUGACCAUUAGCUGGUGGGUUUGUUACCCUUUCUCUCUCUCUCGCCAAAACCCACCCAUUUCAAUUUGUUGCCUCUCUCUCUAUCUCUAUUUUUUUUUUUUUUUUUUUUUUUUUUUUUCUUCUUUCUUCGCUGGGUAUGGUCAUGACUGUCCAUUAAACCCUAAUUUCCCUAUCUCUAUACUCUUCACUCCACAGAAACAAAAGCUAUAAGGGGACUAAAAGUACGUAUAUAUGUCCUUCAAUCAAUCAAGGUCCGAUAAAAGCGAGACACG
rnacentral:misc_RNA from 1 species